rnacentral:rRNA from 1 species
GAAGUAAAAAGUGUAACAAGGUCUCCGUUGGUGAACCAGCGGAGGGAUCAUUACCGAGUUUACAACUCCCAAACCCCUGUGAACAUACCACUUGUUGCCUCGGCGGAUCAGCCCGCUCCCGGUAAAACGGGACGGCCCGCCAGAGGACCCCUAAACUCUGUUUCUAUAUGUAACUUCUGAGUAAAACCAUAAAUAAAUCAAAACUUUCAACAACGGAUCUCUUGGUUCUGGCAUCGAUGAAGAACGCAGCAAAAUGCGAUAAGUAAUGUGAAUUGCAGAAUUCAGUGAAUCAUCGAAUCUUUGAACGCACAUUGCGCCCGCCAGUAUUCUGGCGGGCAUGCCUGUUCGAGCGUCAUUUCAACCCUCAAGCACAGCUUGGUGUUGGGACUCGCGUUAAUUCGCGUUCCCCAAAUUGAUUGGCGGUCACGUCGAGCUUCCAUAGCGUAGUAGUAAAACCCUCGUUACUGGUAAUCGUCGCGGCCACGCCGUUAAACCCCAACUUCUGAAUGUUGACCUCGGAUCAGGUAGGAAUACCCGCUGAACUUAAGCAUAUCAUA